GCGAGUGAAGCGGCAAAAGCUCAAAUUUGAAAUCCUUCGGGAGUUGUAAUUUGUAGGUUGGGAGACCCCGCGGCUAGUGGCACCAAGUCCCUUGGAACAGGGCGCCUUAGAGGGUGAGAGCCCCGUAGGUACCACAACACCGUCUUGUGUCUCCUCUCCAAAGAGUCGAGUUGUUUGGGAAUGCAGCUCAAAGUGGGUGGUAAAUUCCAUCUAAAGCUAAAUACCGGCGAGAGACCGAUAGCGAACAAGUACAGUGAUGGAAAGAUGAAAAGCACUUUGAAAAGAGAGUGAAACAGUACGUGAAAUUGUUGAAAGGGAAGGGCUUGCAAGCAGACACGGCCUUCGUGCCGGGCCAGCAUCGGUUGCUAGGGGUGGAUAAGGAACAAGGAAUGUAGCUCCUCGGAGUAUUAUAGCCUUGCGCGAUACACCCACUGGCGACCGAGGCCUGCGGUAUUCUUUACCUAGGAUGCUGGCGUAAUGGUUGCAAGCCGCCC
rnacentral:rRNA from 1 species